rnacentral:rRNA from 1 species
AGUGGCGGGCGGGUGAGUAACGCGUGAGAAUCUGCCUUGGGGUCGGGGACAACCACUGGAAACGGUGGCUAAUACCGGAUAAGCCGAUUGGUGAAAGAUUUAUUGCCCGAAGAGGAGCUCGCGUCUGAUUAGCUAGUUGGUGAGGUAAGAGCUCACCAAGGCAGCGAUCAGUAGCUGGUCUGAGAGGACGAUCAGCCACACUGGGACUGAGACACGGCCCAGACUCCUACGGGAGGCAGCAGUGGGGAAUUUUCCGCAAUGGGCGAAAGCCUGACGGAGCAAGACCGCGUGAGGGAGGAAGGCUCUUGGGUUGUAAACCUCUUUUCUCAGGGAAGAAGCUCUGACGGUACCUGAGGAAUCAGCCUCGGCUAACUCCGUGCCAGCAGCCGCGGUAAUACGGAGGAGGCAAGCGUUAUCCGGAAUUAUUGGGCGUAAAGCGUCCGCAGGUGGCGAUUCAAGUCUGCUGUCAAAGCACGGGGCUUAACUCCGUAAAGGCAGUGGAAACUGAAUAGCUAGAGUGCCGUAGGGGUAGAGGGAAUUCCCGGUGUAGCGGUGAAAUGCGUAGAGAUCGGGAAGAACAUCGGUGGCGAAAGCGCUCUACUGGACGGCAACUGACACUCAGGGACGAAAGCUAGGGGAGCGAAUGGGAUUAGAUACCCC